rnacentral:rRNA from 1 species
AUAACAAUACAGGACUCUUUCGAGGCCCUUUAAUUGGAAUGAGUACACUUUAAAUCCUUUAACGAGGAUCUAUUGGAGGGCAAGUCUGGUGCAGAGUGACUGACCCGUGCGUGCUGCAGCUGAAA